UUUCUCAGCUAGGGGGGCCCUUCGGGGCUGAGAUGGAUCGAGCGGAUCCGACCCUUUGAACCUGAUUCGGACAAUACCGACGUAGGGAAGCUGCCACAGGGUCGA
rnacentral:ncRNA from 2 species